rnacentral:lncRNA from 1 species
UGUUUGAAAAUAUCCGUCAGAAAAAUCUCUUCAUAUCUCCUGUCGUUUAAAUGCCAAGUAAAUACUCUCAUAGCCCGACCAGAGCUCGGACUACAGAGUAGGGGGGUUUGUGUUGGGGGAAUUUUGGAGUAGACCGAUAAUAUGAAGAAAUUGACAGAUAUCCAGCCCAUUAAACCCAUGCCAAUAUGCCUCAGCCGCACCA